rnacentral:rRNA from 1 species
AUUGAACGCUGGCGGAAUGCUUUACACAUGCAAGUCGAACGGUAGAGGGGGCAACCCCUUGAGAGUGGCGAACGGGUGAGUAAUAUAUCGGAACGUGCCCAGUCGUGGGGAUAACGUAGCGAAAGUUACGCUAAUACCGCAUACGAUCUAAGGAUGAAAGCGGGGGAUCGCAAGACCUCGCGCGAUUGGAGCGGCCGAUAUCAGAUUAGGUAGUUGGUGAGGUAAAGGCUCACCAAGCCAACGAUCUGUAGCUGGUCUGAGAGGACGACCAGCCACACUGGAACUGAGACACGGUCCAGACUCCUACGGGAGGCAGCAGUGGGGAAUUUUGGACAAUGGACGCAAGUCUGAUCCAGCCAUUCCGCGUGCAGGAUGAAGGCCCUCGGGUUGUAAACUGCUUUUGUACGGAACGAAAAGGUUUGUCUUAAUACGAUGAGCUCAUGACGGUACCGUAAGAAUAAGCACCGGCUAACUACGUGCCAGCAGCCGCGGUAAAGUG